AAGGAGAAACUAAGCUAUGAACUUUACAGUAUCAAGGAGAAAUUCAAUGAUUUGGAGAAAAAGCUAGAUCUCAAUAACCAGCUUCUGGAGUUUUAUAGAGAAAAAUAUACUAGCUUGGAAAGAGAUCUUCAGCUUUUGAAAGGGGAAAGGGAUUCCUUGCUUGAAACAAUCUCAGAAUCAUCUCAAAAGCAUGCACUUGUUAGUGAGCAAAAGGAAAAUUUUGAAAGAUUUGAACAGUUAAGCACAAAGUGGGAAAGAUCUUGAAGAACAGAUUAAA
rnacentral:misc_RNA from 1 species